GACUAGGCCCAGCUAGAUGUUUCUUCUACCCUAUGUAACGAUGCUUGGGUUGCGUUAUCUGAAAGCUUAACUAGCUAGAAUGUUUAUGAUGACUCAUGCUGACAGCUGGUGCUGGCUUUCUGGGGGCAGUUCAGCUGGGCCAUCAGCUGGAAAACCUCAGUUCUUCUCUUCCUGGUUCCUCUGUAUCUGGUUAAAGCAUAUCAGAGGAGCAGCCUUGAUUCAAGGGAAGAUUUCACAAUGGUAUGACUAUUCAGAGGAGUGAUUCAUUGAGGGACUCCAUGUAACCAGCUCACACAUAGUCUAUAGGAACUGGAAAGGAAGAUGAAUUCUGUUUGCCAUUCCUGAGACUUUGCUAUACUUACCUGCUCUAGUCUGAAGCACAUCACAGCUCGAAAACAGAUGUGUGACAGGACACAGUAGCAGUGCUCUGUGCAUGUCCUCCUUCCUGUCCCUUCACCACUAAUCUCCACAUAUCCCUUGACAGACUCCUGUAACCCAAUAGUGUUUGGAGUGCUUCUUCCACUCGUCGCCCAUAGAGCUUUGAGAGAAAACCAUUUCAGGUUGCCUCAGCCAAACCUUUGUUAUUAAUAGCAGUUCCUAUUUCUGGAAGGCCAGGUGUUCUGCACCAAAAAUACAGAGCAGAGACACCAGAUAACCCCCUACUCAGAGACCGGGACCACUUGGGUCUCAUUUGCUCUGGGGUAAAUGGCAACUGAAAGCUGGAACCUUGAAUAAGAUGUAAGGGACACUGAGACUAUAUUGGCCAGAAGGCACCUUGCCACAGAGUUAGUGAAUGGACUGCAGGAGUCUGUGAACCUCCAAAAUUGCAGCUCUUCUUUGGAUUUUGUUCUUAAACCUCAAGCUGUUAUAAUUUUCUGUAAGCUCCAGUCAACGCCAGAUUCUGAAGGAAAGGCUCUUCAGAUUUCUGAAUGUGAACUAAAUCUGUCCCAGGAUGGGGAACACGUGUACACCCGUGGUGGAUGCAUGUUGAUGUAUGGCAAAACCAAUACAAUAUUGUAAAGUAAAAAAAAAAAAAAGAAUCUCAGGUUUCUAACAGCUGAUGCCAGCCUAGCAAGCACUAACAAUACAGGCUAAAGACAAGAUCCAAUGAGGCCGGUGAAGACUCAAAGAGCAGCCAAGGGCCUGCAUGAAGACCGUCGGGCCCACACCCCAUUGCUAUGGCAACAGAGGAGACUCCCCCAUCUCCCAGCUUGAGGAGGAAGAUUUGAAAACCUGAGCAUUUACCUGAAAGAGAUCAUUUUAAACCAAAGGAGAUGGACAUAUUGUUAAUUGGCUCAUUUAAAGUUCACAUUUGUUUCUCUGCUUACCCCAGGGCUGAAGGUUCUUGAAAAAAAUUCAGUCAGUUAUAGAGAAAUAAAGAAAUUACACUUUCUUUGUACAA
ensembl:lncRNA